CCCUGGACCAGAUCUCUGCCCACUCAGCCCCGCUCUCCAAGCCCUGUACCAUCCAGAGAACUGGUCCCCGCCCCUGGAACUGAUCUCUGCCCAGUCACCCUACAGGCCUGGUACUACCAUAGCCAAGACCCCGCCUUCAGCCCCGUCCCGGAACCGGUCUCCGCCCAAGUUAGUCCCCGGCGCGCGCGGCCCACAGCCUGGCUCCACACCCCUAUGGCCGACCUUGCCCUCGCUACUACCCCAGGCCAGGGACCAACUUUGUGCUCACUAAGCAAAUUGCAACACCUCUGGGCGAGGCUGGGGGUGCGCGGCCGCCGCUCCCUCCCGCCACGCCUGCCGCCUAAGCGCAGAACCCCCAAACACGCCAGACUCUGCGCGCAAGCCGGAAGUGGACGUGCAGCGCUGUUCGCCCCAGACCGGAAGCGGAAGCGCGGGGCGGUGCCGUGGGAGGAGCCGCGCGUGGGGCACCGGGGAGCGAGUCCCUCCGUCUCCGCGAGUCGGCGCUUUUGUCCCCGCGGGAGGGGCCGGGCUUGGUGAGCGGCGGGCGGGGACUAGGGUCGGAGUCCAGGGGCGACGUGGGUCGUGGGCACCGCCAGCCCCGGGCCCUGCGUUCCUCCCGGGGGCCGCGUUUCCGUCCCUGAGGCCUCGGCUGUGUGCUCAGGUAUGGCCAACAACUGUGCAGCCUGUAAGAAGCCUCGAAAGAAGUCUUUGUGCCUUUUUAUUUCCAGCUGAGAAAAGCGUCAUUCAAGCUCAGAUUCCUGCUGAAACCAGCCACGAGGUCCACCUGUUGUCACUGACCCGUGGGUUUCUGUGUGAUCAGGUGAGUACAACAUGGAACUUACAGCAAAGUUCCAGCAGUCUCUGCUGUGUGGAAGAACUGCUAAUGGGCUUUUCCUGUGCUCAAGUUGUAGCCAUAUGAAAGUCACUAAGAGUGAAGGUUUCUUAAAGGUUCAAGGUAGGCAGGGCGUGGUGGCUCACACCUGUAAUCCCAGCACUUUGGGAGGCCAAGGCAGGUGAAUCAUGAGGUCAGGAGUUCAACACCAGCCUGGCCAAGAUGGUGAAACCCCAUCACUACUAAAAAUGCAAAAAAUUAGCCGAGCAUGGUGGCAGGCGACUGUAAUCCCAGCUACUCGGGAGGCUGAGAUAGAGAAUUGCUUGAACCUGGGAGGUGGAGGUUGCAGUGAGUGUUGUUUAAAAAUUUAGGGUCUGUAGCAAAAUGUUAACUAGCUUAGGGAAGUGACUUUUCUCCAAGCCCCUCAGGAAGAAACUUAGCACAAAGGACGCUCAGGUUCAGCCUUCACUUCCCCCUUAUCUGGAGUCUCUGAGCCAGCAGAUCCAUUCAGUGGGUCCUCAUUGGGAGUCCCAGCCUCUGAAAGGCAACUCAGGGACACAGGUUGUUAUCUUCAGUUUCAUAGGGAAAGCAAGCAUCUCUGGAGUCUUAACUUCUUUGGCUGUUGUUUUAGGUUACUAUUACCUUCUUGUUUAACAAGUUCCUUAUUUACUUCUGGGGCUAGCUGGAUGCCUGGAAUUUCUCUUUAAGGAUCUUCAGGAUUUUCCUUUAUUUUCCUGCUGGGGGUUCACAGGCCCCUAAAAAAGGGAAUUGCUGUUUCAUCUACAAGUUGGGGUCAGGUGAAGCUAGUCACAGGGCUCGACUGGAAUGAGGGGACAGGGAUAUGUCAGCACUGCCUCAUGAGGAAGCUGCGUAAGGAAAAUCCCCUGCAGCAGGAGAGAGGCUGCCAUGCUCCUUACACUGGGAACACGGGGAUGGCUGAAGCCGAGACAAGAACAGGGAGAGAAGCCAGGCACAGUGGCUCACGCCUGUAAUCCCAGCACUUUGGGAGGCUGAGGCAGGAGGAUCACUUGAGGUCAGAAGUUCGAGAGCACCUGGUGAAACCUCGUCUCUACUAAAAGUGUAAAAA
rnacentral:lncRNA from 13 species